CGUCAGGGGGAUCCUCUCGAAAGAGAGAUUAAGACCGCAUAACAUUAUUGAAUAGCAUUAUUUAAUAAUCAUAUUUAUAGGACGAAAGAUGGGCAUGCGGAACAUUAGCUAGUUGGUAAGGUAACGGGUACCAAGGCUACGAUGUUUAGGGGGAUCUGAGAGGGAUGACCCCCCACACUGGUACUGACACGGACCCAGACUCCUACGGGAGGCAGCAGUAAGGAAUAUUGGUCGAAUGGGCGGACUCUGAACCAGCCCAUGCCGCGUGCAGGAAGACGGCCCUACGGGUUGUAAACUGCUUUUACCGGAAUAAACCUCUUUACGUGUAAAAGAGCUGAAAUGUACGGUAAGAAUAAGGAUGCUAACUCCGUGCCCAGCAGCCGCGGUAAUACGGAGGAUCCCAAGCGUUAUCCGGAUUUUGGGUUUAAAGGGUGCGUAGGUGGCCUGUUAAGUCAGGGGUGAAAGACGGUAGCUCAUAUCGCAGUGCCUUUGAUACUGACGGGCUUGAAUGAACUAGAGGUAGGCGGAAUGUGAAGUAGCGGUGAAAUGCAUAGAUAUGUCACAGAACACCAAUUGCGAAGGCAGCUUACUAGUUUUAUUGACACUGAGGCACGAAAGCGUGGGGAUCAAACAGGAUUAGAUACCCUGGUUCCACGCCCUAAACGAUGAAUACUCGAUGUUGGCGAUAUACGGUCAGCGUCUAAGCGA
rnacentral:rRNA from 1 species